CGCCUUGAAGCUUUCACGUGUGAACACAAAUUUAAUAAUAAUGAUACCCAAGAUGAGCUGCAUGAAUGCUGCUGUGGGAAUCCUUGAAUGGUGGAGAGGAAGAUUCCAUAACUCUGGGCAGUGGAUAAAGCUGCUUUAACCAGGAUGCUGGAGUGCCAGUAGGGACCACUGGGAGAGACAGACCUAUGCAGAGCCUGCCUCCAACAUGACAGAGCUUGCACACUCAGCUCAAAUCUUACGCCAGCUCUUGAAGUGUGAUCACACAGGUAUCUUCCACAGUUCCUGUGCCACUGAG
rnacentral:lncRNA from 1 species